UCAAAAUGAAUGUUGCAAUUGGAGCACCUUUUAUGCAAUUGUAUCAUUAAGGUGCUGCAAUUGCAACAUUCAUUUUGA
rnacentral:miRNA from 1 species